AUACGGAGGAUCCGAGCGUUAUCCGGAUUUAUUGAGUUUAAAGGGUGCGCAGGCGGCCAUUUAAGUCAGCGGUUAAAUCGUGGGGCUCAACCCCAUUCUGCCGUUGAUACUGGGUGGCUUGAUUGCGGUCGAGGUUGGCGGAAUUCGUUGUGUAGCGGUGAAAUGCAGAGAUAUGACGAAGAACACCGAUUGCGUAGGCAGCUGACCAGACCGCAAAUGACGCUCAUGCACGAAAGUGCGGGGAUCGAACAGGAUUAGAUACCCUGGUAGUCCGCACAGUAAACGAUGAAUACUUGUUUUCGGCGAUAUAAUGUCGGAGGCAAAGCGAAAGCGAUAAGUAUUCCACCUGGGGAGUACGCCGGCAACGGUGAAACUCAAAUGAAUUGACGGGG
rnacentral:rRNA from 1 species